rnacentral:rRNA from 1 species
UAACACGUGGGCAACCUGCCCCGAUGAUCGGGACAACCCGGGGAAACUCGGGCUAAUACCGAAUGUGCUCGCAAGCCACAAGGCUUGCGCGGAAAGGAAGCUUCGGCCUCCGCAUUGGGAUGGGCCCGCGGCCCAUUAGCUUGUUGGUGGGGUAACGGCCUACCAAGGCUGCGAUGGGUAGCUGGUCUGAGAGGACGAUCAGCCACACUGGGACUGAGACACGGCCCAG